CCCCUCCCGGGCCCCCCGGCCCGGCGCGCGCCUGCGCCGGCCGCUCCCCGGCCCCCGAGCCGCCCGCGAGGCCGCCGCGGCCGGCAGCCUCGCCCCCCGACCCCGGCCGCCCGGGGCCAGGCCGGCUCCGCGCGCGCGCCCGCCGCCGCCCUCCCCUCGCGCCCCAGGAGCGGCCGGGGCCACCGCUCCACAGCCCGCGGCCAGCAGUGCUCUGGCCCCCCAGCCCCCGGCUGGCUCCCUGGCCCGGGCCUCUUGCGGGCUCCGUUUCCGUCGGCCGCGCGCCUCCCCACCUGCGCCCCGCUCUGUGCUGGCAGGGUCAGCCGGGCGGGCGGAGGGUCCUUAAUUCUCCAAGCCCGGUUCAUUGCCUCCGGUUGAACGUGAAUGCUCUUGUUGCCGAGGACAUCUUUGCAUUUCCCGCAAUCCGGUCAUUGUAUGGCUUCAGUGGUUAACGCUUAAGGCAUCGGAGUUGGUCUCUGGGCAGCUCCCCUGGAGAUAGAUGACUUGGGAAAAAGAAAUCAGUGACCACAUAGUUUCGGCCUGCUUAACAAAACCGAGGAAGAAUCCCCGUGAUCAGUCAAACGCAAGAGAAUCUGGGUUUACUGAUGCCCUUGGUAAUUCUCCGGCAAGCACGCGAGGACCCGAGGGAAAUGACCAUAAAUUCGUCCUCCUGUAUCGAUUAUGAGGGAAAUGUCUUUUUUUUUUUUUUUAAGGCAUCUCCAGACAUUGACAAUGUUUCGUAAAUUUGCAAGAGAUGCAAGAAACUACAGAUAAUGUUUUGCUAUCACCCCGGAGCUGCAUCUUGAGAUGAAAUCAGAGCCUGGGGGCUUGGUAGAUACAGCAGACAUCAGUACCUAUGGAUAGCUUAUCAAAUAAAGACAUCGGUGAAGGGUGUAGGCUGUGAGGAGAAGUGGGGUAUUGGCCUGGAUUUGCCUGUAAAUGCAUCGCGAAGAGGCAGCCCAGAAUGAAGAAAGCAAGCAGGAGUGUCGGCUCAGCGCCUAAGGUGUCGGGGACAAGCAGAGUGCAGGCAGCGGACAAAGCCAGGCCCGAGAGCAGCUCCUCAGCCUCUGCGGGCAGCAGGCCCGUGAAGCCUGGGGCCGCAGCAGCGUUGUCGAAGACCAAGAGCAGUGAUGACCUUUUAGCUGGGAUGGCUGGAGGGGUGACCGUGACCAAUGGUGUCAAAGGCAAGAAGAACGCCUGCUCCUCGGCCACACCGGCCGCGCCCGCGCCUGCCGUGAGCGCCACGGAGAACAGGCCCAGGACCGGCACAGGCACGAGUUCUUCAACCAAGCGGAGCACUUGCACAGGUAAUAAAGAGCCCAGUUCUACUAGAGAAAGAUUGCGUGAGCGCACCCGACUAAACCAGAGCAAAAAACUACCUUCUGCAGGUCAGGGGGCUAAUGACGUGGCGUCGGCCAAACGCUCCCGCAGUCGCACGGCUGCGGAAUGCGACGUCCGCAUGAGCAAGUCCAAGUCGGACAAUCAGAUCAGUGACAAAGCUGCUCUGGAGGCCAGAGUGAAGGAUCUUCUCACCUUGGCCAAAACCAAGGACGUGGAGAUUUUACAUCUGCGGAGCGAGCUCCGGGACAUGCGUGCUCAGCUGGGUAUCAGCGAGGACCCCCUCACCGAGGGCGCCGAGACGUCCGAGGAGAAGGAAGCCAGCACCGUGCACCAGCCAACCGACGUGGAGUCCACCUUGCUGCAGCUGCAGGAGCAGAACGCCGCCAUCCGCGAAGAGCUCAACCAGCUGAAGAACGAGAACCGGAUGCUGAAGGACCGGCUGAACGCGCUGGGCUUCUCCCUGGAGCAGAGGCUGGACCAUUCCGAAAAGCUGUUUGGCUAUCAGUCCCUGAGCCCAGAGAUCACCCCUGGUAACCAGAGCGACGGCGGCGGGACGCUGACCUCCUCGGUGGAGGGCUCGGCCCCUGGCUCAGUGGAGGAUCUGCUGAGCCAGGAUGAAAACACGCUCAUGGACCAUCAGCACAGCAACUCCCUGGACAACCUGGACAGUGAGUGCAGUGAGGUGUACCAGCCCCUCACGUCCAGCGACGACGCCCUGGACGCGCCCUCGUCCUCGGAGUCAGAAGGCCUUCCGAGCGUAGAGCGCUCUCGCAAGGGCAGCAGCGGGAAUGCCAGCGAAGUGUCUGUCGCGUGCCUGACGGAGCGGAUACACCAGAUGGAGGAGAACCAGCACAGCACGAGCGAGGAGCUGCAGGCCACUCUGCAGGAGCUGGCUGACCUGCAGCAGAUCACCCAGGAGCUGAACAGCGAGAAUGAGCGGCUCGGCGAGGAGAAGGUGAUUCUCAUGGAGUCCCUGUGUCAGCAGAGCGACAAGCUGGAGCACUUCAGCCGGCAGAUUGAGUAUUUCCGCUCCCUCCUGGACGAGCAUCACAUUUCCUAUGUCAUCGACGAAGACGUGAAAAGCGGGCGCUACAUGGAGCUGGAGCAGCGCUACAUGGACCUCGCUGAGAACAGCCGCUUUGAACGGGAGCAGCUCCUUGGCGUCCAGCAGCACCUAAGCAACACCCUGAAGAUGGCCGAGCAGGACAACAAGGAGGCCCAGGAGCUGAUCGGCGCGCUCAAGGAGCGCAGCCACCACAUGGAGCGGGCCGUCGAGUCCGAGCAGAAGGGCAAGGCGGCCUUGGCCGCCACCCUGGAGGAGCUCAGAGCCACCCUGGCCAGUGACCAGAUCGAGAUGAAUCGCCUGAAGGCCCAGCUGGAGAACGAGAAGCAGAAAGUGGCGGAGCUGUACUCUAUCCAUAACUCUGGAGACAAGUCUGACAUUCAGGACCUCCUGGAGAGCGUCAGGCUGGACAAGGAGAAAGCAGAGACUCUGGCCAGUAGCCUGCAGGAAGACCUGGCCCACACCCGGAAUGAUGCCAACCGGCUGCAGGACGCCAUCGCAAAGGUGGAAGACGAGUACCGAGCCUUCCAAGGGGAAGCUAAGAAGCAGAUAGAGGACCUGAACGUGGCCGUAGAGAAGCUACGCUCAGAGCUGGAAGAAAGAGACACAGAGAGGAGUGACAUGAAGGAAACGAUCUUUGAGCUUGAGGAUGAAGUGGAGCAGCACCGGGCAGUGAAGCUGCACGACAACCUCAUCAUCUCGGACUUGGAGAAUACGGUUAAAAAACUCCAGGACCAAAAACAUGACAUGGAAAGAGAAAUCAAGACCCUGCACAGGCGACUGCGGGAGGAAUCAGCAGAAUGGCGGCAGUUCCAGGCUGAUCUGCAGACCGCGGUGGUCAUCGCUAAUGACAUCAAGUCUGAAGCCCAAGAGGAGAUUGGUGACCUGAAGCGCCGCUUACAUGAAGCUCAAGAGAAAAACGAGAAGCUCACGAAAGAAUUGGAGGAAAUAAAGUCACGCAAGCAGGAGGAGGAGCGUGGCCGGGUGUAUAACUACAUGAAUGCUGUGGAGAGAGACCUGGCGGCCCUGAGGCAGGGCAUGGGGCUGAGCAGAAGGUCCUCCACGUCCUCGGAGCCGACGCCCACCGUGAAGACCCUCAUCAAGUCCUUCGACAGCGCAUCUCAAGUGCCCAGCCCUGCCGCGGCAGCGAUGCCCCGGACGCCUCUGAGCCCAAGCCCUAUGAAGACGCCCCCUGCGGCCGCCGUCUCCCCCAUGCAGAGACAUUCCAUCAGUGGACCCAUCUCCACGUCCAAACCCCUGACAGCCCUCUCAGAUAAGAGACCAAACUACGGGGAGAUCCCUGUGCAAGAGCAUCUGCUGAGAACGUCUUCGACCAGCCGACCUGCUUCUCUGCCGAGAGUGCCUGCCAUGGAGAGCGCAAAGACCCUCUCAGGUACUGCCCUUCAUCUGAGCCGGCCUUUAGAGGUGCGUCUGGAAGGUCCGCUGAUGGAGCUGAGUUCCUUCUCUUUAGGAACACGAGUUGAAAUGUUUCUUCUCUCCACUUCCCAGGGAAGAAAGGAAGGAUCCCUGUCGGCCUUGGCGAGAGAAUAUGGGGGUUCCAAGAGGAACGCCUUGCUGAAGUGGUGUCAGAAGAAAACCGAGGGCUACCAGGUAACUGCGUCCUUCCGUCCAGGGGAGCCGGGCUGCUGGCACAGCCUGCUGAGCAGCACGAGCCCCAGACGUGGGGGGGCGUCCCGGGAGAAACAGUGCCUUCCCGUCCAGAGCAGCGGACCGUCACUCUGCUCCUGUUGA
rnacentral:lncRNA from 1 species